GAAGUCCGGGUAGGUUAGGUGGCUGAAAUUUUGGGCUAUAGGAUGGGGACAGAAGUAAAACCUGGCUAAUUAGACUCCGAGCAGGAGGAAAGAAACUUGAGUUUCUUUCUACCAGAGUAGAGUAGCAUGGGAUUCUCUUUUUAAUUCCAUGACCAGAGCUUCUCUCUCUCCUCAGCAGGCACUGCGCAGUUAUCCAAACUGGCCAGCCCAGUUGGCUGAUUGAGCUCUGGCAAGAAGCCCCUUGCAGACCCUUGCCCUGGGCUGUCAUGGUUUGACCUGAGGCAUACCAGGGAACCAUGAAUUGAAGAGUUGAGAAAACUGAGGCAAAGGGAAGUUAAUCUGCUUGAAGAGAGUGACACAUCUAGACAGCCAAUAAAUCAAGAUCUGGAAGGUUUUCCAUUUUCAAGGCAUAAAUGUUCACUUUGAAAAAUCAACUCUAAAGAACAGGGAUGAACUGAAUCUGGCACAUCCCCAUGAUGUGUAGGCUAAUUUGGAGACAGAAUGUAGACAUAGUGAGAAAAAGAGUCAUCAUAAAGCAAUGACUACAUAAAAGACAAGUUGACUGGUGAUGGAUGAGGAUGCAGUUGAUGACCAUGUCUCCUUCCUUGUCCAACCAAGUUUUAAGAGCUCCAGAAUGUCUACUUUUAACACCUUUUUGUCCAAUAGAAUGAAUUGUUCUCAAUCACCCCUUCUGACAGGGGAAGUCUUCACACACUCGGAGUAGAUACCCCCUAACUCAUCAGAGACAAUAAAUAUUUUGGAACAAAAUGUCAGCUGGGAUGGGUCCUGGCCUUUUUUGCAGAAACUGAUCCUGAGGGGUCUACCCUGUUCCCUAACUCAAGACUUAAUUGGUUAAGGGAAUGGGAGCUUGAUACACUGAAGUAGGAUUUUCUUUUUUCUGUUGUGUUGCUCUCUCCAACAGUUCUAGAUGGAACUGAAGAAGCAGAAAAAAGGACCCUAAGUACUGUCAGAUUCAGACUUUAUACAAAAGUCUUUUAUUGUAGGUGAGGAUGUAUAGAUAAGUGUAUGUAUGUAUUUACAAAUGCAUGUAUAUAUUAUUUUGUCCUUUGUUGUAAAUUAAAUUAUUGUAAGUAUCUUGGCUUAUGUCUUCUGUUUUUAGCUAUUUUGUUUUAGCCCUGUUUUCCAUUAUUCCUGAAGUACAUAAGACCCUUCAUAUCUACCAUCUUUGGCAAGAUAUACAUUUACAUAUUUAACAGACUGUACCAUUUAUUCCU